rnacentral:rRNA from 1 species
GAUGAACGCUGGCGGCGUGCCUAAUACAUGCAAGUCGAGCGAAUGGAUUAAGAGCUUGCUCUUAUGAAGUUAGCGGCGGACGGGUGAGUAACACGUGGGUAACCUGCCCAUAAGACUGGGAUAACUCCGGGAAACCGGGGCUAAUACCGGAUAACAUUUUGAACCGCAUGGUUGGAAAUUGAAAGGCGGUGUCGGCUGUUACUUAUGGAUGGACCCGCGUCGCAUUAGCUAGUUGGUGAGGUAACGGCUCACCAAGGCAACGAUGCGUAGCCGACCUGAGAGGGUGAUCGGCCACACUGGGACUGAGACACGGCCCAGACUCCUACGGGAGGCAGCAGUAGGGAAUCUUCCGCAAUGGACGAAAGUCUGACGGAGCAACGCCGCGUGAGUGAUGAAGGCUUUCGGGUCGUAAAACUCUGUUGUUAGGGAAGAACAAGUGCUAGUUGAAUAAGCUGGCACCUUGACGGUACCUAACCAGAAAGCCACGGCUAACUACGUGCCAGCAGCCGCCGUAA